rnacentral:piRNA from 1 species
UGGGCCUACCACCUAGCUGAUGUGACCU